GUCAGCCGCCGCGGUAACACCGGCAGCUCUAGUGGUAGCAAUUUUAUUGGGCCUAAAGCGUCCGUAGCCGGUUUAAUAAGUCUCUGGUGAAAUCCUGUAGCUUAACUGUGGGAAUUGCUGGAGAUACUAUUAGACUUGAGACCGGGAGAGGUUAGAGGUACUCCCAGGGUAGAGGUGAAAUUCUGUAAUCCUGGGAGGACCGCCUGUUGCGAAGGCGUCUAACUGGAACGGUUCUGACGGUGAGGGACGAAAGUUAGGGGCGCGAACCGGAUUAGAUACCCGGGUAGUCCUAACUGUAAACGAUGCGGGCUUGGUGUUGGGGUGGCUUUGAGCUGCUCCAGUGCCGAAGGGAAGCUGUUAAGUCCGCCGCCUGGGAAGUACGGUCGCAAGACUGAAACUUAAGGAAUUGGCGGGGGAGCACCACAACGCGUGGAGCCUGCCGGUUUAAUUGGAUUCAACGCCGGACAUCUCACCAGAGGCGACAGCUGUAUGAUAGCCAGGUUGAUGACUUUGCUUGACUAGCUGAGAGGUGGUGCAUGG
rnacentral:rRNA from 1 species